GUCUUUUUGAAAAUGAUUUAMAGUCUAACCUGCCCAGUGAUGAUUUAACGGCCGCAGUAUUUUAACUGUGCAAAGGUAGCAUAAUCAAUAGUUUUUUAAUUGGAAACUGGUAUGAAGGGUUGAAUAAAAAAUUUACUGUCUUGAUUUUAAUUUUUUAGAAUUUUAUUUUUAAGUUAAAAAGCUUAAAUAUUAUUUAAAGACGAGAAGACCCUAUAGAAUUUUAUAAAAUUAUUAAUAAAAAAAUAAAGUUUUAAAGUUUUUUAUUAAUUUAUGUAUAUUUGAUUGGGGUGAUUUUAAAAUUUAUAAAACUUUUAUUUUUUAUAAUCAAUUAUUUUUGUUUAAUUGAGCCAUAAGUUAUGAUUAAAAGAUUAAAUUACCUUAGGGAUAACAGCAUAAUUUUUUUUGAAAGUUCAUAUUGAAAAAGAAGAUUAUGACCUCGAUGUUGGAUUAAAAUAAAUUAUUGGUGAAGAAGCUAAAUAAGUAGGUCUGUUCGACCUUUAAAAUUUUACA
rnacentral:rRNA from 1 species